GACGAACGCUGGCGGCGUGCUUAACACAUGCAAGUCGAACGGAAAGGCCCUGCUUUUGUGGGGUGCUCGAGUGGCGAACGGGUGAGUAACACGUGUGUAACCUGCCCUUGACUUUGGGAUAACUUCAGGAAACUGGGGCUAAUACCGGAUAGGAGCUCCUGCUGCAUGGUGGGGGUUGGAAAGUUUGGGCGGUUGGGGAUGGACUCGCGGCUUAUCAGCUUGUUGGUGGGGUAGUGGCUUACCAAGGCUUUGACGGGUAGCCGGCCUGAGAGGGUGACCGGCCACAUUGGGACUGAGAUACGGCCCAGACUCCUACGGGAGGCAGCAGUGGGGAAUAUUGCACGAUGGGCGGAAGCCUGAUGCAGCAACGCCGCGUGCGGGAUGACGGCAUUCGGGUUGUAAACCGCUUUCGCCUGUGACGAAGCGUGAGUGACGGUAAUGGGUAAAGAAGCACCGGCUAACUACGUG
rnacentral:rRNA from 1 species